CUACGGAGGGAGCAAGCGUUAUUCGGAAUCACUGGGCGUAAAGGACGCGUAGGCGGGUUUGUAAGUCAGGUGUGAAAUCCUACAGCUCAACUGUAGAACUGCACUUGAAACUACAGACCUAGAGUAUGGAAGGGGCAGAUGGAAUUAGUGGUGUAGGGGUAAAAUCCGUAGAUAUCACUAGGAAUACCGAAAACGAAGGCGAUCUGCUGGGACAUUACUGACGCUGAGGCGUGAAAGCGUGGGGAGCAAACAGGAUUAGAAACCCCAGUAGUCC
rnacentral:rRNA from 1 species